rnacentral:rRNA from 1 species
CCGCGUGAGGUAUGAAGGACCUUUGGGUGUGUGAAGACCUCUGUCCUAGGGGAAGAAAAAAAUGACGGUACCCGAGGAGGAAGCCCCGGCUGACUACGUGCCAGCAGCCGCGGUAAUACGUAGGGGGCAAGCGUUAUCCGGAAUUAUUGGGCGUAAAGAGUGCGUAGGUGGUCUACUAAGCGCGAGGUGAAAGGCAAUGGCUCAACCAUUGUUAGCCUUGCGAACUGGCAGACUUGAGUGCAAGAGAGGAAAGCGGAAUUCCUAGUGUAGCGGUGAAAUGCGCAGAUAUUAGGAGGAACACCGGCGGCGAAGGCGGCUUUCUGGAUUGUAACUGACACUGAGGCACGAAAGCGUGAGUAGCAAACAGGAUUAGAUACCCUGGUAGUCCACGCCGUAAACGAUGAGCACUAGGUGUCGGGACAUGAGUCUCGGUGCCGCAGUUAACGCCAUAAGUGCUCCGCCUGGGGAGUACGCACGCAAGUGUAAAACUCAAGGAAUUGACGGGGACCGCACAGCAGCGA